rnacentral:rRNA from 1 species
GACGAACGCUGGCGGCGUGCUUAACACAUGCAAGUCGAACGAAAAUACCAAGCUUGCUUGGUUGAUUAGUGGCGAACGGGUGAGUAACACGUGAGUAACCUGCCCCUUACUUUCCUGGAUAACUGCUCGAAAGGGUAGCUAAUACGGGAUAUUCUGACUAGCCUGCAUGGGUUGGUUUGGAAAGGUUGUUUUUCUGGUAAGGGAUGGGCUCGCGGCCUAUCAGCUUGUUGGUGGGGUGAUGGCCUACCAAGGCUUUGACGGGUAGCCGGCCUGAGAGGGUGGACGGUCACACUGGGACUGAGAUACGGCCCAGACUCCUACGGGAGGCAGCAGUGGGGAAUAUUGCACAAUGGGCGCAAGCCUGAUGCAGCGACGCCGCGUGAGGGAUGAAGGCCUUCGGGUUGUAAACCUCUUUCGUCAGGGAACAAGGCACUGUUUUUUUGGUGGUGUUGAGGGUACCUGGGAUAAAGAAGCGCCGGCUAACUACGUGCCAGCAGCCGCGGUAAUACGUAGGGCGCAAGCGUUGUCCGGAAUUAUUGGGCGUAAAGAGCUCGUAGGCGGCUGGUCGCGUCUGUCGUGAAAACUUCCGGCUCAACCGGGGCUUGCGGUGGGUACGGGCCGGCUAGAGUGCGGUAGGGGUAACUGGAACUCCUGGUGUAGCGGUGAAUGCGCAGAUAUCAGGAGAACACCGAUGGCGAGGCAGGUUACUGGGCCGUUACUGACGCUGAGGAGCGAAACGUGGGAGCGAACAGG